CCGGAGAAGGCGAGAAGCAUCCAGGAGAUGCUCGAGCUCACCACGCUCUCUCCCACUUUACACGCAUGCUCUCUGGCAUAUAUUAUGCUUGUAUCCUCUUCUCGUUGCCUCUAGAACUCUGCUUCGUUUAACUUUCACUCGCUUCGUCAACUUUUACUCGCUGCUCAGAGCAUCAAUCCAAAGUGUCAGGCUGCUUCUUCUUCUUUCUUCGUUUCCCUGCUGAACCAAUCUGAUGUCGGAGCCGGAGCCACCGUUUAGGCCGAGGGAGAAGCUCAUAGAGAAGCAGAAGUAUUUCCAAACCAUCAACAAGCCCACGUACCUGAAGGGACCGUACGACAAGAUCACCUCCGUUGCCAUCCCUCUUGCUCUGGCCGCCACCGCCAUGUACAUGACCGGACGGGGCAUCUAUAACAUGGCCCACGGGAUCGGGAAGAAGGACAUGCUAUAGCUCUAUUUCCGAAUGCUGUAAGAGGAGUUUUUGUAAUGUCUGUAUGAUCAAUCCAGUUGUUGAAAGAAAGCCGAGCUGGGCACCGCAAGGCCUGACAAAGAUGUUCUGCACUGGAAGAUGCAGAAAGCAAACUAUUCCGCCAUCAAAUAAUUGAAAUUCCACUUUAUGAGUUUCCCUAA